GAGAGAACGUAGCGAAAUGCGAUACUUGGUGUGAAUUGCAGAAUCCCGUGAACCAUCGAGUCUUUGAACGCAAGUUGCGCCUCAAGCCAUUAGGUUGAGGGCACGUCUGCCUGGGCGUCACAUAUCGUUGCCUGAUGCCAGUUUCCUCGUGAUGGGUGACUGUGCAGGGCGAAUGAUGGCUUCCCGUGAGCAUUGUUGCCUCAUGGUUGGUUGAAAAUUGAGUCCUUGGUAGGGAGCGCCGUGAUAGAUGGUGGUUGAGUGACGAACGAGACCCAAUCAUGUGAGACCCCUACCGAAUUUGGCCUUCAUGACCCACAUGCGUCUUUGGAACGCUCAUGACGAGACCUCAGGUCAGGCGGGGCUACCCGCUGAGUUUAAGCAUAUCAAUAAGCGGAGGA
rnacentral:misc_RNA from 1 species